rnacentral:rRNA from 1 species
ACUCCUACGGGAGGCAGCAGUGGGGAAUAUUGCACAAUGGGCGCAAGCCUGAUGCAGCCAUGCCGCGUGUGUGAAGAAGGCCUUCGGGUUGUAAAGCACUUUCAGUCGUGAGGAAGGUGGUAGUGUUAAUAGCACUAUCAUUUGACGUUAGCGACAGAAGAAGCACCGGCUAACUCCGUGCCAGCAGCCGCGGUAAUACGGAGGGGGCUAGCGUUAUUCGGAAUUACUGGGCGUAAAGCGCACGUAGGCGGAUCAGAAAGUCAGAGGUGAAAUCCCAGGGCUCAACCUUGGAACUGCCUUUGAAACUCCUGGUCUUGAGUUCGAGAGAGGUGAGUGGAAUUCCGAGUGUAGAGGUGAAAUUCGUAGAUAUUCGGAGGAACACCAGUGGCGAAGGCGGCUCACUGGCUCGAUACUGACGCUGAGGUGCGAAAGCGUGGGGAGCGAACAGGAUUAGAUACCCUGGUAGACUGUCAU